GGCAGAGUGGUCGAAUGCACCGCACUCGAAAUGCGGCAUACCUGCAAGGGUAUCGUGGGUUCAAAUCCCACCCUCUCCGCCA
rnacentral:tRNA from 1 species